rnacentral:lncRNA from 1 species
CUCUAGCAAGGAGUUAUUUUGACAUCCCCCUACCAGCAGAGAACUUCAUCCUCUGCCUCAGGCAACUCUGACAAGGGUCUGUACAUCUGCUCCCACAGUUUUUAUGCCCACCAGCCAAGUAUCUUUUCCACCCUCUAAAUUUCCUUUGGUUUUGCUUUCUUAUAGCUUUUGCCCACUAAUUUCAGUAUAUCUAAUGCCCUCUCGUAACUUCUAUGGCCAACUGAGUAUCUUUUGUUUCUAAUCCAGCUUCUAAAUGCCCAAACCAAUUUGUGAAUUAAAUGUAAACCGCCCCAAUAGAGGGGAACUGAUUACUACAGUUAAUCACCGUUAUCCUUACUUCGAUAAAGACUUUUUGCCAAGCUGUUCCAGAGAGCGCCCGCCAGCCUACAUGUGCUUCAGUUCACUGUCCAUUUCUGGUAAGGUAGGCUGUCCUGUAGAUGGAGUAGCAGACUUCAAAGAUUAAGGUCAUGACAGCUUGUGGAUUCACUGUGUCCAGGUUUCCUCUGAACAUUGGAAGUAGGCCUUGGGAAUUCUGAUUCUUGUUUUCUUUAAAACACACUGGGGUCUGAUUCUUCCAGAAGGAUGAAUAACUGAUAAAACCAGAUGAAGAUAUGAAGGCUUUGCAUUGAAAUCAAAAUUCUAAAUAAUGUUUUAUAGAAUUUUAAAUGAUGGAAUCUCUAUUUGAGGGCAUAUCCUAUGUAAUGCAGGUGUCCUUUCAUUCGUUUUUUUCCCCCCU